rfam:Nematostella vectensis strain CH2 x CH6 NEMVEscaffold_350_Cont24646, whole genome shotgun sequence.
ACCAGGAUGUCCGAGUGGUUAAGGCGUUGGACUUAAGUUCCAAUGUACGAAUGUACGCGUGGGUUCGAACCCCACUCCUGGUA